rnacentral:rRNA from 1 species
UCAACCUAAGAGUUUGAUCCUGGCUCAGAACGAACGCUGGCGGCAGGCCUAACACAUGCAAGUCGAACGAGAAGCCGCCCUUCGGGGCGGUGGAAAGUGGCGCACGGGUGAGUAACGCGUGGGAACCUACCCUGAGGUACGGAAUAACGGCUGGAAACGGCUGCUAAUACCGUAUGUGCCCUACGGGGGAAAGAUUUAUCGCCUUGGGACGGGCCCGCGUCGGAUUAGCUUGUUGGUAGGGUAACGGCCUACCAAGGCUCCGAUCCGUAGCUGGUCUGAGAGGAUGAUCAGCCACACUGGAACUGAGACACGGUCCAGACUC